GGGCCCUUAGCUCAGCUGGGAGAGCGCUUGCAUGGCAUGCAAGAGGUCGUCGGUUCGAUCCCGAUAGGGUCCACCA
rnacentral:tRNA from 2 species